rnacentral:lncRNA from 1 species
CGUGCUGACCUGAACUUAGCUUUGCAACUUGUGAAAGCUUCGAUCAGUCCACAGCAGUCCCAUGCAUCGUGAAGCUCGACUCUUGUACGAAUCCAUCUAGUAAUUCCCAGAAGUCGAUUAGCUUAUCUGUUAAACAGCAUCAUCAUGAAGCACAUGGUAAGCUGCAGGACGAAGCAGAGUCACCUCAGCGAUCUCGGCAUCAUGGCAGAGCUCCCCAACUGGAGCCUUUUCCGGAACAGGCGCUGGUGCCACUUCAGAGUUACCAGACGAAGUAACAAUCUUAGGCGAACUCGCCGAAGCUGCGUCACCAGCUUGGACGACUUCCGCCUGAACAUGGACGAACCCUACGCCUACAGCCACAGACUCUGCCGACAGAAGGGCCGCCACUUCUUUCCGUCGCCCCACCACCGCUCCUUAUCUUGCAGUUCCGUCUUGCUGGUGACGGGGUGCA